rnacentral:rRNA from 1 species
AAGGUGGAUUUGUAAGUAAUUAUUUAAUAGAAUUAUUAAAUGAAGGAUGGAAUAACAUGUGUACAUAUUGCCCGUCGCUCUCGUAGUCUUGAGAUAAGUCGUAACAUAGUUGGUGGACUGGAAAGUGUAUCUUUUUGA